UUAUAUAAAAUAGAGUUUGAAUCUCUCCUAGGGUGUCCACCUAGGAUUCCAGGUCAUAAACUCAAAGUCUAUUAGUGUGACACAUGUCUUCUUUGCCAAAACUCUGAGUUUCAUUUAUUCACGUUUUAUAUUUGUUUGGGCUUUUGAUUCUUCACGGUUUCUUUGUUAAGCUUUGUUAAGCCCAAUUCUUUGGUGACUACGCUUUACUUCACACAAAAGAACAAAUUUAGGGUUCAUCAUUCGUUAUCUGAAAGCUCAAUCGACAAUGAAGUCUUCUGGAAGUUUUCUAUGAAAGAUUUUCAUGACGAAUCUCUUGCUCGGGCUCUGUACAUUCCGUUACAGAAGGGAUUUUCCUUCUGAACCGUUACAAACUGCAUUGAAUCAUCAUCAUUAACGAUUGCCUUAACUCUUCCACCCAUCCCUACCACGAUUUCCUCAUUAAUUGUAUCUCCCUAUAAGGCUGUGGAUCUCCAGCUAUAUAAAAAGACCGAGUGGUGUACCGAGCUUAUGGGUGUUGACAUGGCCAAGACGGUUUUCAUGCUAGCCACUGUUACGUCCACCGUCUGCUCACUUUCAGACACCCUUCAAGGCGGGUAUAAUGUACUCUGUCACCGGAUUUGAUGUUGUCCGAGCCAAUCAAAACUUUACGAUACGGUAUAAUGAUUCAACGGUUUUGAUGAGAUACUAGAACCGGUUUCUCCAAUUCCUGAAGAACGCUUCCGGUUCCAUAAUCACGAUAAGCUACUAUGCCUAGACAACACUAACAACACCCAUCUUCCAGACAUUAUUGGUGAGCUUACUGCUGUAAAAAGUACUGUAAGUGACCCUCCAAAAGGGAAAGAUCGAGUCAUGGCAACCAUCAAAAUCGUCAGUGAUGUGUCUGUGACCAUGAGUAUGCACGGCUCACAAGCUGUAUUGUUUCACAACCCGCUGGAAGGCUUACGGGUGGAUCCCAGGGUUGUUCUCGCAACAUUAAUCAUCAAUCCCACGAUUCAAUAGUUACUGAUGCGUACGUCUGUUUUCCAAGACUACCCACAAGCUCCCAAAAAGACAAUCAGUCCUUCAUGAACAAAACUAUUUUUAAAAGAAAAAAAAAGAAAAAAGGAUUUUUUUGAUAACAUUCAAACAAUGCCCACAAAUUUUUAAAUGCUAAACCAACAAUUAUGAUUUUUCACUGGAAUAUUGUUUUUAGAUCACAUGUUUGCUUUAGAUCACCUGAAUAACAACCGCCUACAGUGAUCAUCACUAGUUCAGUUUUCUCACCUUGCAGUUUUAUGUCUCUCAAUUUGUUUAUCUUUACUUGGCUACUAUCCUCAUCAACAAUUAUUACUCUACUUUUUAUAUGAAAUCCAUCUUCACUUAUUAUCAGUAUCACUUACACUGCAUGUUGAAAUACAAUGAUUUCAUCAUGAGAAAAAGAUUAUUUUACUACAACAAGAUUCUACAAAUACUUGGACUGGGACUAACUUCAAAGCUGAAAUAUUAAAACGUCAA